UACGGGGGGGGCAAGCGUUGUUCGGAAUUACUGGGCGUAAAGGGCUCGUAGGUGGCCAACUAAGUCAGACGUGAAAUCCCUCAGCUUAACUGGGGAACUGCGUGUGAUACUGGAUGGCUUGGAUUUGGGAGAGGGAUGCGGAAUUCCAGGUGUAGCGGUGAAAUGCGUAGAUAUCUGGAGGAACACCGGUGGCGAAGGCGGCAUCCUGGACCAUGACUGACGCUGAGGAGCGAAAGCCAGGGGAGCAAACGGG
rnacentral:rRNA from 1 species